AUGCAGGGUCUGAGGUUGGGAUGGGAACGCGACUCUUUGGGAGUCUACUACUGCCGCAGAGACGGUUGGACGACAGGAAUGGACAGAGCCCAACUCAAACUCGUCCUGCACGGACACCACAUUGCGAGGCCCAGUACGUUUUCGGUCGAGCUUCUCAUCGUGCCUGUCAUGAUUACCAAAGACCCUGUCUACACACACCACGACUGCGACGGAAUCUCCUCGAUCGGUGCCGUGCGCCGGGGCGGAUCUCCUCCGGUUUCCUGGCGCCGAGGGCAGAGCCAGCGCCGCGUCGCUGCCCGGCGGCGAUUGGCGUGGAUGACGGACGGUCCGGUCCGGUCCACACCAUACGCGCUAGCUGGGAAUUGA
rnacentral:rRNA from 1 species